rnacentral:misc_RNA from 1 species
GGAAGUAAAAGUCGUAAACAAGGUUUCCGUAGGUGAACCUGCGGAAGGAUCAUUCAUAAUAAGUGUUUUAUGGCACUUUUUUAAAUCCAUAUCCACCUUGUGUGCAAUGUCAGGGUUGAUUUUUCUCUCGAGAGGAUCAACCCCAAACAUCAACUAUAUCUCAACUCUUUGUCUGAAAAAUAUUAUGAAUAAAACAAUUCAAAAUACAACUUUCAACAACGGAUCUCUCGGCUCUC